rnacentral:lncRNA from 1 species
CUAUUAACAUUCAUUAUAUAUAGAGAGAGUUCAGCUCAUGUGCUUUUAAAAGUAUAGAAAUAUUUAUUUUUGUGACUCUUUAGCUGUCUGAUAACUUCAUGAUUCGUGUAACACUAUUAAUAAUGUGUCCCAAUAAAUUCUCAUCUUGAGACGAUUCAAAGGCUAAAAAAUUAUAAACACGUCGUGCUUCUAUGCUCUUAAAAGCACAGGAGUAGAAUGAUCUAAGUACUGAAAAUGGUCAAAGGGAUAGAUUUAAUAGCAGAAAACCUGGCAGCACCAAGUGUUUGGUGUUAUUGAUACCAUUGUAGCUGGACUAUAUAUAUAUAUAUAGU